UACGGAGGAUGCGAGCGUUAUCCGGAUUUAUUGGGUUUAAAGGGUGCGUAGGCGGACUGUCAAGUCAGCGGUAAAAUUGAGAGGCUCAACCUCUUCCCGCCGUUGAAACUGGUGGUCUUGAGUGGAUGAGAAGUACGCGGAAUACGUGGUGUAGCGGUGAAAUGCAUAGAUAUCACGCAGAACUCCGAUUGCGAAGGCAGCGUACCGGCAUCCAACUGACGCUGAGGCACGAAAGCGUGGGGAUCAAACAGG
rnacentral:rRNA from 1 species